rnacentral:rRNA from 1 species
UACGUAGGGUCCGAGCGUUGUCCGGAAUUAUUGGGCGUAAAGGGCUCGUAGGCGGUCCGUCACGUCGGGAGUGAAAACUCAGGGCUCAACCCUGAGCGUGCUUCCGAUACGGGCGGACUAGAGGUAUGCAGGGGAGAACGGAAUUCCUGGUGUAGCGGUGAAAUGCGCAGAUAUCAGGAGGAACACCGGUGGCGAAGGCGGUUCUCUGGGCAUUACCUGACGCUGAGGAGCGAAAGUGUGGGGAGCGAACAGG